CCUACGGGGGGCAGCAGUGGGGAAUAUUGGGCAAUGGGCGCAAGCCUGACCCAGCAACGCCGCGUGAAGGAAGAAGGCCCUCGGGUUGUAAACUUCUUUUCUGAGGGACGUAGAAAGUGACGGUACCUCAGGAAUAAGCCACGGCUAACUACGUGCCAGCAGCCGCGGUAAUACGGAGGUGGCAAGCGUUAUCCGGAUUUAUUGGGUGUAAAGGGCGCGUAGGCGGGAAGGUAAGUCAGAUGUGAAAGCUCAGGGCUCAACCGUGAGCCUGCAUUUGAAACUGGCUGUCUUGAGUGCAGGUGAGGUAGGCGGAAUUCGGGGUGUAGCGGUGAAAUGCUUAGAUA
rnacentral:rRNA from 1 species